GGCCCGUUGGUCAAGCGGUUAAGACGGAGGCCUCUCACGCCUCAAACAGGAGUUCGACUCUCCUACGGGUCACCA
rnacentral:tRNA from 1 species